AUACUCAAACAACGUGUGAUCUGACUCAAUAAAUUUGGAUCCUUCAAGUGGAGUAUACAAUGAGUGCAGGCCAGUCUCCACAAAACAAUCAUUCAGAUAACAAACUAAACCAAAGGAUGACGGUUCUGUACCGGGGUACCCAUCCAUAGCACCCUUGAAAUUGAGAGCAGCACAAAAAGCCAAUCCCAUCAACUUGGUAUUAUACCAAUGUGGAGGCAGCUCUAUAUUUACAGAACACCCUACACUCUGAUGCCUGAACCACUCUGGAAUUCUACUUCCAGGAACCAAAGCAUUAUAUUCAUUGUGUGGAGUAGGGAUCCCCUGCAUCAUGGAAAUCAUUGCUCGCAUGUGAGAAAAUAGUGUAGAAUAAGUAUUCAAAGUUUUAAAAUUAUUUUCUGGGAUUAAAUUUAUUUUUAAGAUUUUUUUUUUUAAGCAAAUACUUUUUGUCCUAUACAAUCCCAAAGUAGAAAAACAUACCCAUGGCACCAGAAAUUUUGGUAUUGAUGACAUAAGCUGGAUUCCCUCUAAUAUAGCUCCCACAAUGUCACUGCCUUGAUUCUCUCCUAGCCUAAAGCAAUUAGUGAAAUUAAAUCUGAGGUCCCCGAACUUCUUGGAUGUGUAUGCACCUGAUGAACAUGAGAAGGUUUCCAGGGAUGUGCAACUAUGGGCAUUUAAACUUUCAACACUUGAUGGAAGCUCUGGCAAUGAUUGAAGACUCUUGCAGUAUUCUAAUGUGAGACUUCGCAGCCGAGAAAGUCCACUGAGGCUAGCAGGUAUGGUAAUGAAACUGUUCCUGCUCAGAUCUAACCUUUCCAAUGAGGGUAUGGACCCAAGAUCACUGGGCAAUGCUCCUUCCGAUAGGUUGCAACGUUGUAGAAUUAACACUCUCAAGGAGUAUAAACCCGAGAAAGAAGGCAGUCGCAAUUCUUCUGUUGGUGAUGAGUGGAAAGAGAAGACCAUAUUCCUUGACUUGGAAUCCCCUCCCUUACAUCCUGCUAAUGAUAAUUUUUGAAGGUUUGUCAAAAGAGUAAUAGAGGGUGGAACCUCUUGUAUACCACUUCCAUCUGCAUUCAGCUCUGCUAAACAUUGUAGGCUCCCCAAGUCAUCUGGCAAUUCCUUCAGCUCUGAGCAACCACAGAGAGUAAGAGUCCCAAGAGAUGUCAACUCACAAAAGCUUUGCGGAAGACUUGCAAGUUUUUUACAAUUCUUCAGAUUCAAAAAAACAAGCCCAUUUAGACACCCAAUUGAGGAAGGCAGUUCUAUUAUACCACUCCCAUCUAGAAAAAGCUCCAUCAAACUCUCCAUGUUUUCCUGGAUCUCUGGAAGCUUCUUGAGUCUUGUGCAGUUUGAAAGAAUGAGAGUUUUCAGGGACUUCAACUUAAAAAUGCUUCUGGGUAGUGACUCAAGGCUUUUGCACUCUUUCAGAUUUAACAAAGCAAGUCCAGUGAGAUUUUCAAUGGACAAGGGCAAUCCUUUUAUAGCAGUCCCUUCUAAAGAAAGAUUUGGUAGAUGUUCCAUAUUCCCUUGGACCUCUGGAAACUUCUUCAGUUUUGAGCAGCCAGAGAGAGUAAGAAUUUGAAGGGACUCCAUAUGGAUGCUGCUUGAGAAACUCUUGAGUUUUUUGCAGCCUUCUAAAUUCAGGAAAAUAAGCUUCUUGAGAGCUCCAAUAGAUGGGUGAACCUCGACCAAACUUGUACAACCUUUGAGAAUUAGUCUCCUAAGGUUUGGCACUCCAGAGAAGUCUGGUGUUUUGGUUAGAUGUUGAGAGUGGCUAAGUUUGAUGGAUUUCAACUUCUCAAAUCCCUAUCAAAGAAAAGGGAAAACAAUCCACUUUAAUGGACUUUAUAAUCCAUUUAAAGAAAAAAAAUGUAUAUAAAUUAUAAUCAUACCUUUUUUCCUUCCCACAGUUGUUUAAGUCUACUAAAGCACAUGUUUAGCUCAACAAGCUUCUCUGGAUGAAAAUUUGAUGGAAAGGACUUCAAAGGGUAUCCAUGCCAAUAGAGAUCUCUUAAGUUGUUGGAUAGAAAUUUGGAAUCUUCAUAUAGGUGCAAUUUAUUUUGAGUGUACAAAUAAUUCCUCUCUGUCCAAACAUCAUGAGUAUAGGCAAUUAACUCUUUUUUUGACAAAUAUCCUAAGCUUCUAUCUAUUUGCACAUUACAAAUUUUGAGCAAUCUUAAUCUCUUCAUCUUUGUAAAGGCGUCAAUACUAAAGUUUAACUCUUUUGAUUCAGACAAAUCAAGGAAUAUGCCUUCAACUGCUUCGGUCCCCUAACAUUAACCAAGAGCAAAGUAUAAGUUUCAAAUUAAAAUAGAAAAAUUAAAAAAAUAAUAAUAAUAAAGAAAAAAGAAAGAAGAAAGUCUAGAAUAUAGCAAAUUAAUUACAUUUUUUUCCUUUUUAUUUUUUAUUUAUUUUUCACUUUUUUAAGUGUUGUUGGAAACUUGGAGGAAUGAAUUUUUAACACAAGAAAUAUUUUAGGAUAGUAACUUUCGUAAUGGAAGUAAAAUUGUACAAAACUGUGAGUUCUUGAAUGAGAUUGGAUAGUAUUCUUUAAACUUAGGCUUCCAUCUAAAACUUAUACACAUGAAAAAAGAGAGUUGAUGUAUUUUAGCCUUACCGUAUUUGUUGUUAGUACAUGAUUGAUGUCCUCAUGAACUCUUAACCUGCUACGCUCGCCAGGUACUUCAGAUUUUUGUCUAACAAUUUCCCAACCCAUUUCUUGUAAUAAAUCAUGCAUGCACAACUUAUUCUCCGAAAUAGUUAUAAGUGACUUAUCUUCAAGAUUUCUUAUCCCAAUGCCAAAGAAGAAACCACAACUAUCUAGUAUGUCUCCAACAAAAUCUUUAUCAUGCCCUUUAUAAAAGAAUGCAAUAUCAAGAAAUAUAUUUUGUUCAUUGUCAUCUAACCCUUCAAAACUUGUUUUGAGCACAUUUUGAACUUCUUUGUUGGGGAAUUGUUUGAGUUUGUUCAAUUCACUCUCCCAUUCAUGUAUGCCUUUUGUGUAUAGAGAAGAACCCAAGACUUUAAGGGCUAACGGGAGGCCACUAGUAUAAUCUAAUGCAUGGCCACAUAGUUGCCUAAAAUCUUCUGUACCAUGCCUAUGUCUAAAGGCAUACAGACAAAAUAGCUUAAGAGCUUCAUCAUUGUCUAAUUCCUUAACUUCGUAUAUUGCAUCCACUUCUUGACAAGUUAGCAAAUGUCGAUCUCUAGUUGUUAUGAUAAUUCGACUUCCUAAACCAAACCAAUUAUUGUAUCCUGCUAAAUCUUCCAACUGUUGUCGUUGAUCCACAUCAUCAAGGAUAAUAAGGACCUUCCUAGAGUGGAGCACAUCCUUCAUAAAAUUGAUUCCUUUAUUAAAAAGUCCUGCAUUUGGUUUCCUUUCCUUUAAAAUUUGUGAAAGGAGUUCCAUUUGUAAAUAAGGUAGACCAUGUUUGUAUGACUCUUCUCUAACAUUUGAAAGAAAGCAACAACCUUCAAAUUGAGUGUAGAUUCGCUCAUAAAUAACUUUAGCAAUGGUAGUCUUCCCUAUGCCAGCCAUGCCCCAAAUUCCUACCAUCCGAACAUCAAGUGAUCCAAUACAUAAUAAGCAAUGUUUUAAAAACCGGACCGGACCGGCCGGUCGGACCGGUCCAACCGUCGGCCGGUCACCAUUCCGGUCCGAUCCGGUCAUUUAGACCGGAUUGAGAUCUAACCGGAGUUAAACCGUUCGAACCGGCGGUUCAACCGGUGAACCGGACGAACUGGCCGGUUCCAAAAAAACCGACCAAUUCAAAAGAUUUUAAUUUUUCUUUAAAAAAAAAUUAGAAAAUGAAAAUAUUACCAUAGAAUUUAAAAUGAAUUUUACUAAAGGAUGUUGGGCUUGUCUUAUGACACAGCCCACAACCCACAUACCCAUUCCACUUUAUGUGGGCUGAGUUUUGAGCCCAAGUUUUGAGCCCACAAGCCUAUCUUAAGCCUUUGCUGAGGAUGGCUUUUAUAGGAGUCAUUUGACUCCUUGUUCCCCUUUCUUGCCGAUGUGGGAUUGCUAAAAAUCAAAGAAAAAAAACAUAACAAAACUCCAAGAAGGUUUGAACCUUGGACCACCCCUAUACUAAGUCCACAUAGAACACCACUCGGCUACAUGGAUUUUAUUUCCUACUAUGCCAAACAAAACAACACAUAUUAGAUUUUAAAUUUUUUUAUAAUAUUAAAUAAAAAUAAUAUAAUAUUUUUAAAAAUUAUGAAAUUAGUUUAAAUUUUCAUUUUUUUAUAUAUUCAUAUUUAAAUAUUACACAUAUUUCAUUUAAUAAAAUUUAAAAUAUUAAUAUGAUUUAAUUUGAUAAUAUAUUAAUAUCAAAGAUAUAAAAUAAUAUUAUUGAUGUUUAAUUUAUUCAUAUAUAUUUUAAAAUUUUUAUAAUUAUAUUUAAUUUUAAUAAAAUAUAAAUUAUAUAUUUAUGACGUCACCGGUUCGAUAGCGGUUCGACCGCCGGUCCGACCAGUGAACCGUGAACCGGUAACUUUUCCGGUUCGAUCACCGGUCCGGUUCUGAAAACAUUGAUAAUAAGGAAUCCAUGGCCUCUAGGCGGGACUCCAUCCCAACUAGGCCCUUCAUGUAGCUUGGAGAUGUGCCAACCAAUUUAUUCCAAAUAUCUCUAACAAUUUCCUCAAUAAGUUUGGAUUCAUGCCUGUCAAAUUCAAUUUGAGAACAAUGACAUAUAUAGUUAAAAUAAUAAUAAAAAUCCAUAAACGGACAAAGAAAAAUAUAUUAAAUGUGAGAGUACGUAGAGGUCGUUUGUUUUUUUAGCUUUUUAUUGAAAACAAUUGUUUAUUUUUCCACUUUUUUUAUAACUUAUUAUAAACAUUUUGUUGAAUAGAAAAAAAAAAAAAAAAACAAUCUGAGAUACCAUAAUUAAGAGCCACGCUCAACACUCUGUCCUGCAGAAACUUAAUGGUUAUGACCAUCAGGGGUGGAAAACUAGUGAGAUCAAGGACCAUAUGGCAAGGUACCGAAUUUUAUUUAUGCCUAAUAUUAUAAUUUUUUAUAACAAGGGGCAUUUAGAUCGAUCUCAGCUUAAUACGUGGGUCGAGAUCAAUCUUCAUUUGGAUCAAUGUGUACAUAGUCACCUCUUAAUUAAUACAUACCUCUGACAUGUCACAUGAUGAAGCAGAGCUUAUCCAGUUAAUAGAAAAGAAGAAGCACAUCUAGUUAGAAAGAAUUACCUAUCCCGUGAAUCCCAUCCAGAAAUUGUGGCUACUUCAGUUAAUGCUUCUCUCCACUUGACCACUUUCUCCAUCUUCUCCCUGUAUUCUUGUUCAUGCUUUGCAAAUGCCUCUGCAAAACUCCCUGUUUGUUUUUUUACAUGGGAGGGAUUCAAGUUAUAGAAAACUGGUAGUGCUCUAUGUCCCAUAACUUUGAUGCAGUCAAGUAUCUUUACUAGCUCGUCCAGACACCAACUGGAAGAAGCAUAGUUGUCAGAGAAAAUGAUGAUGGAAAACCUCGAUUCUUCAAUGGCGUUAAGGAGCGCUGGAGAUAUUUGUUCUCCUCUCCUAAGUUGGUCAUCCAUGAAAGUGUUGAUUCCUUUUUGACAAAGCGCCGUGUGAAGAUGAUCAGUGAAGCUUUUACGGGUGUCUUCGCCUCUGAAACUAAGGAAGACAUCAUACUUCCAUUGAUGGGUGGAAGAAGAAGUAGAAGAAGUAGAAGAAGAAGAGGAAGAAGGAGCCAUUAGAGAAAUGAAAGAAGCAAAACCAUGGGAAGAAUGAACAAGAAAACUAAUGAACCUGAGGGCUGAAUUCAGUGUCUUGUGUGGACCUUAUCCAAAAAGAAUCACCAUUUGGCUGGACCGUGAGAACUGAAGAGCUAAUGUCUAUUCAUACCCCAUUGGUAUUAACACAUCAUUAUUAGUAUAUUAACAUCAUUCAUCCAGUGUAUUGAAAUUAUGUAAUAAUUUCUUUAUAUACAUAUAGAAAAAAGAAACUACAAGUUUUGUGAAGUCAAAUUAGUAUUUCAUUUGUUUUUAGAAAUGAUUUAUAAUAUAAGUAUAUUAUAAAAUAUGGUAUGAUCAUACAAAAUUAUCACUUUUAUAAAAAAAAGUUCAAAAUUUUUCCAAUUAGAUUUUAUUAUAAUAUAUUGUAAUGUAAACGUAUUUAUAUUGUAAUUAUAACAUAUUUUUGUUGUAUCUAAGUUUUAUAAUAAAAGUAAUAAUUUUAGAUAUCAUUUUUUAUUCCUCAUUAAUAUUCAACAUAUCAUAUGUAUUAACAUCAUCCACUCAAUUUAUUGAGAAAAAAAAAAUUAUAUAUGAAAAUUAAAUAGUCUACCUCCCUCUAAUUUAAAAAAUGGAUUACUCCGCUCAGGUGAAUAAUAUUUUCAACCUAAAUUAAUAUUUUGCAUUUUUUUAACAAAUAUUUUUCCAUGCAGGAUGAAUAAGUUAAGCUUUCACCAUAUUCUAGAAUUUAUUUUAACAUGGUAUUAAAAAUUUUAUGUUAUAUUUUUCUUAGCAUUUCAAUCUCAAUUUUAAUUUAAUAAUGAAAUAUCAUAUCAUUUUAUUAAGUUGCUUAGCUUCAAAGCAUUUAAUAGUGAGUCCGGGGCUAAACAUAAUUUAAAUAAAAAAAGUCAAAUGGAAAAAGGAAAAGUGGGAGACACAAAAGAGAGAAAGACAAGAAUGGGGUGGGGGCCAUUGCUUUUUCUAAGAGAAAAGCUUUUCCUCAUCCACGAAGAAGACCAGUCCAUGAUUAAAAAGGAAGUGAUUACCUCAAAUCAGGAGGUAUGACAGAGAUUGAACAAGAGCUUCUUCAACUCGAACCACCUUUAAACUCUUCAUUGAAAUCUGGAGAAAUCAAAGUAUUUUUCACUCAAUUGUUGCUAUAAUAUCAUGAUAAAUUUAUUUUAAUAAAUUAAUAGAAUAAACAAUUGGUGGUCAAUAAAAUAUUUCCAAAAUCCAAUGUUUGAUUGCCAAAGGCUUCAAGAGUAUGAGAAGGUUUCGAAGAAGCUUACAGGGGGAGCAUAGGUGAUGGAGGGGAAAGAAGGAACCCGAUUUUGAAGGAGCCGAAGGGUCCAUCAGAUGACCUUUUUUGUAGUUAGAGUCAUCUCCAUCGCCAUCUCCAUCUCCCGGCCACGUGGUGCCGAAAGGAAAGCUGCAUCCGCCAUCUUUCUCGUCUUCCUCGUAUACUAGACGAAUCCCACACUUUUUCACCUCACCAUCUGAGCCCGUCAAUGCAAAUGAAGCAACCACAUUGUCGCUUAGCUUUCUGAACCAAUUACCGAGGCAGAUCUCUAGUCGAGCAAGAGAUUUAUACUCAAACAACGUGUGAUCUGACUCAAUAAAUCUGGAUCCUUCAGGUGGAGUAUACAAUGAGUGCAGGCCAGUCUCCACAUAACAAUCAUUCAGAUAACAAACUAAACCAAAGGGUGAAGGUUCUGUACCGGGGUACCCAUCCAUAGCACCCUUGAAAUUGAGAGCAGCACAAAAAGCCAAUCCCAUCAACUUGGUAUUAUACCAAUGUGGAGGCAGCUCUAUAUUUACAGAACACCCUACACUCUGAUGCCUGAACCACUC
rnacentral:lncRNA from 1 species